UACAUACUACCCUCCCCAGACCCCACUAAGUGGGAUUAUACUGGGUUGUACUUUUUCAAUUAGUUCUCAUCAACAAAGAGUUCAUAAUACAUAGAUUCUGUAAACAAUCUCAGGCUAGAAAACACAAGCUGUAAAGCUUGCCAAAUGAAACCUGUUAAGUGACAAAACAACCAUUUUACAUGAAAGACAAAUAUAUAGAAAUCUGACUUCAUCAAAUAAAGAAAGUGAAAACACAGAUAUUUAAUGGAUACACAAUUUUAGGGAGCUUAUUAACAACAAGAUUUACAGACACACAUCCUUUA
rnacentral:lncRNA from 1 species